GGCCGUGUGGCCUAAUGGAUAAGGCGUCUGACUUCGGAUCAAAAGAUUGCAGGUUUGAGUUCUGCCACGGUCG
rnacentral:tRNA from 2 species